GACGAACGCUGGCGGCGUGCUUAAUGCAUGCAAGUCGAACGAAGAACCCCCUCUGGGUAACCAAAGGGGAAUUCUUAGUGGCGAACGGGUGAGUAACACGUGAGAAACCUGCCCCGGAGAUCGGGAUAGCCCAGGGAAACCUGGAUUAAUACCGAAUAUCCUCGUACGGUCGCAUGGCCGAUCGAGGAAAUGGUCCGCCGCUCCGGGACGGUCUCGCGUCCUAUCAGCUAGUUGGUGAGGUAAAGGCUCACCAAGGCAUCGACGGGUAGCUGGUCUGAGAGGACGAUCAGCCACACUGGGACUGAGACACGGCCCAG
rnacentral:rRNA from 1 species